rnacentral:rRNA from 1 species
UACGAAGGGGGCUAGCGUUGCUCGGAAUCACUGGGCGUAAAGGGCGCGUAGGCGGCGGGGUAAGUGAGGUGUGAAAUCCCGGGGCUUAACUCCGGAACUGCACUUUAUACUGCCUUGCUCGAGGGCUGGAGAGGAGACUGGAAUUUACGGUGUAGCAGUGAAAUGCGUAGAGAUCGUAAGGAAGACCAGUGGCGAAGGCGAGUCUCUGGAAAGCUGCUGACGCUGAGGCACGAAGGCCAGGGGAGCAAACGGG